rnacentral:lncRNA from 1 species
CAAAGGAUAACGUUAGGGUGUAUAGGGUAGGCUGAAACAAGAAAAAUAAAAAUCAAAGUAUAUGUGGCGUUUUGGGGGGGUAGAGGGAAUGGUAGAAUGAAUGGAUGCUCAGAAGCAACAAGAAAUAAUAACAAAAUAAAACUCACAAGACUUUUCACUCUUUUUUUUAUACUUCGAAUUUUUUUUGUUUUUUUUUCAAUCAAAUUUUUUUUUAAAUUUUUUUUGAAUUUCCUCUUCUUCUUUUUUUUUUGAUUUUUUUUCAAUUACAAUAUGCUGAAAUACAAAGGGAAGAGAAAAAAAAAUAAAAUUACAACCUAAAUUUUUUUAUUUUUCUUUCACGUUACGAACCUACUCCGAGCUUGAUACGAACGUCAGCGCUCCUCGUUUUAGUAGCUCUGAUACCAAAUGAUGCGAUCCGGCCCGAGUUAAUCGAGUCGUUUCACAUAGUUGCCCGAUCAUCGACGAGGAGUUUCGUACCAAAAGGAUGGUUUGUUUG